rnacentral:rRNA from 1 species
GAUGAACGCUGGCGGCGUGCCUAAUACAUGCCAGUCGAGCGAACAGACGAGGAGCUUGCUCCUCUGACGUUAGCGGCGGACGGGUGAGUAACACGUGGAUAACCUACCUAUAAGACUGGGAUAACUUCGGGAAACCGGAUCUAAUACCUGAUAAUAUAUUGAACCGCAUGGUUCAAUAGUGAAAGACGGUUUUGCUGUCACUUAUAGAUGGAUCCGCGCCGCAUUAGCUAGUUGGUAAGGUAACGGCUUACCAAGGCGACGAUGCGUAGCCGACCUGAGAGAGUGAUCGGCCACACUGGAACUGAGACACGGUCCAGACUCCUACGGGAGGCAGCAGUAGGGAACCUUCCGCAAUGGGCGAAAGCCUGACGGAGCAACGCCGCGUGAGUGAUGAAGGUCUUCGGAUCGUAAAACUCUGUUAUUAGGGAAGAACAAAUGUGUAAGUAACUAUGCACGUCUUGACGGUACCUAAUCAGAAAGCCACGGCUAACUACGUG